rnacentral:rRNA from 1 species
GACGAACGCUGGCGGCGUGCUUAAUACAUGCAAGUCGAACGGAAAGGCCCUGCUUUUGUGGGGUGCUCGAGUGGCGAACGGGUGAGUAACACGUGAGUAACCUGCCCUUGACUUUGGGAUAACUUCAGGAAACUGGGGCUAAUACCGGAUAGGAGCUCCUGCUGCAUGGUGGGGGUUGGAAAGUUUCGGCGGUUGGGGAUGGACUCGCGGCUUAUCGGCUUGUUGGUGGGGUAGUGGCUUACCAAGGCUUUGACGGGUAGCCGGCCUGAGAGGGUGACCGGCCACAUUGGGACUGAGAUACGGCCCAGACUCCUACGGGAGGCAGCAGUGGGGAAUAUUGCACAAUGGGCGGAAGCCUGAUGCAGCAACGCCGCGUGCGGGAUGACGGCCUUCGGGUUGUAAACCGCUUUCGCCUGUGACGAAGCGUGAGUGACGGUAAUGGGUAAAGAAGCACCGGCUAACUACGUG